AUGAUUUGUCAAAUGUAUUUAAACUGGUUUGGACCAUUUCUUCUUCUUAUUAAUCCUCCCUUAGCCACUCUUGGCUUUUCCUGGAAGAACGGCCUCUGCAGCUGUCGCUUGGCUGGAGGAAAGGCGGGGGACCCCACAGCCCCCCUGCCCAAGAACCAGGGACAUCGCCACAUUCUGCGCCCUUAGGACUAACGUCAGGAGGAGAGAAGGUGUAUCGGCAAAGGAUGGUGCUGAAGCAUGAAGCUGCUGCUGCAGCCUUGAAGCUGGAAGGCUCGCCCUGAAGUUAGACGGGUUGGGGUACCCAACCCCUGCCAAACCCACCUCUGUGUUCCUGUCUGCCUGGGAAAAAGAAAAGACACUCUCGAUCCGUCACCUGAAGUAGCCACAAUUAGGAAAGUGUCAGGACUGCAUUGUCUGAGUUCUUUGCCAGGAUCCCGGGAGUAGGGGUGGGGAGGGACAAAGGUGUGGGCUGAGCGGACCCUUCAGACAACCCCGUUGUCUCCAGGGCGGGGGGAUCUCUUUAAAAAAACACGUGAGGCUCCCCUGGAACUGUUCAUGUCCUUCUUCUCAAGGGCACACACGGCAGAAGCGACCCCGGCUCUCAGAUCACAGGCUCUGUG
rnacentral:lncRNA from 1 species